rnacentral:rRNA from 1 species
AGAAUCAACGCUGGCAGCGUGCCUAACACAUGCAAGUCGAACGAGAAAGUGGAGCAAUCCAUGAGUAAAGUGGCGACCGGGUGAGUAACACGUGACUAACCUACCUUCGAGUGGGGGAUAACCUCGGGAAACCGAGGCUAAUACCGCAUAACAUCGCAAGAUCAAAGCAGCAAUGCGCUGGAAGAGGGGGUCGCGGCUGAUUAGCUAGUUGGCGGGUAAUGGCCCACAAGGCGAAGAUCGGUA